CUCCCCCCAGAGUGUCAUGGCCGUCUUCUUCUCAGGCAACUACCUUUGAUCCUUUUACUGAUCUGAUGUAAAUCACCUUGAGUGUCAUAGUUAUUUACACCUCAGAGUGAAGGAAGAACCUGACAAUUGAUGGACAAAAACAAGAGUUGAAGACAUGAGUACUUGGAUGCAGCAGGCAAGCCCAGGAUCAUUUCCAUGAUGGUGGAUUGUAGUGUUCUCAAGAGAGGAUAAGAGGACAGUCCUCACUGCGCUAACACUUUCGAGCUUAUGCCAUUUGCUAAAGAACACUUUUAGCCAUUUGCUAAAGAAAAGCUCAUAUCCAA